AGGCUCUGACACGGCCCGGGGCACCGCCCAUCUGAUGUCCACGACGACGUGGACCGGAUGCUGCCCUUCGGGUCUCUCCCAGUGCAAGCGAGGACCCUUCUGCGUCAGCCUCGUGUCUGCCCAGUGCGAGGAGCGUGGUGCGGUCAGGAGCUGCUCUCUCCCUCCGCCGCCUGUACCCGCGUUGCCACGAGCUGUCUUUCUAGGGCGGAGCGCAGCCGCUGUCCUGUGGCUUUCACGUGUGGCUUUCCAACCUCCGGGGCAGCUGGAAAAGAGGGCAGGUGUGCGAGCUGGCACCUCAGGCUGGCUGCAAGGGCUCAGGAGGCCACUCCGGUCUGGGCUUCAGGUACCUCGGCCAGCAUGGCCAUUCUGAACGGGCGCCUGGCCCCCCUGGGGCUCACCCACCUUAGUUGAUGUUUAAAAGCUUUGCUCCCAACGCCUUAUGGAUUCCUGGCAAGCCCGGCAGGUCCGUGAGAGAACAGUUGAUGGGAACGAGCCCAGAGGAGGAGCCACAGGAAUUUGUGAAACGUCUCGGGGGCUCGUGGACAUGCGUUUAAGUUUGCUACAGUGUCAGUCAGCAGCCCCCCUGGUGCCCCCAUGGGCACUGUGCGCGGUGGAAGGUUUCCGUGCCGAGUGUUAACGUGCCAGGCCCCUAGUUGUGCAAACUCCCCUCUCCCUCUUGCCGAGCUUUUCUGAAGAUCUGCCUCAGGAUGAGCCUGAACCGCCUUACGUUUCUGCUGCUGCUGCUCCUUUUUGCGAACGGGAAGGGAGCCGCUGUCUGCCAGGAGAGGGUGGGCAGGCGAGGAGCGGGGCCUCGGCUGCAAGUGUGCGGAUGAAAUAAGCUGUGGGCCCCGGCCAAAAAGGGCUUUGCAUCAGAGCGUCCUGAAACUGCCCCGUCUCUGUCUCUCAGUCUGGUUCUGCACCCUGGUAAUAAAGACACUCCGAGGAGUUGAAGGGA